GGGGUCAGUGGUGGAAGUGAGACCGAAAUAGACUCUGAAGUAAUAUCUGGACUUUGAAAUUGCGCCAACCCUGAGACCAAAAUUUGGAAGGUGGCCCUGAGCAGCAGCUGAAGGGAAGUGGGAGGCAGCUAUUCCCAACCCCAGAACCUUUGCUGUCUUGGAACAGAUCACCACUGCAAGAGGGGAAGUUGCUACUGUGAUGAAUUCUGCCAUGUGGUACCAGACUGCUACCCAGACCACAGUGUCCUCUGCAACCCUCGUCAAAGGUGCCUACAUGUUCCUUCUAGCUUUGUUUCCCUGAUGUUCCUUGCCACCUGCUACUCCUCUCUGAGCUACUUUUCCAGCUUCUCAGAUGACCAAGAUGGUGCUGCAGAUGGUGCUGAGGAUGGAGAACCCACCAAGCCC
rnacentral:lncRNA from 1 species